rnacentral:rRNA from 1 species
UACGUAGGGUGCGAGCGUUAAUCGGAAUUACUGGGCGUAAAGUGUGCGCAGGCGGCCGCGCAAGUCGAGUGUGAAAGCCCCGGGCUUAACUUGGGAAUUGCGCUCGAAACUACGUGGCUGGAGUGUGGCAGAGGAAGGUGGAAUUCCAGGUGUAGCGGUGAAAUGCGUAGAGAUCUGGAGGAACACCGAUGGCGAAGGCAGCCUUCUGGGCCAACACUGACGCUGAGGAGCGAAAGCCAGGGGAGCAAACGGG